CACCUAAAAAUCUAUAAAUUCUCAGACCCUCAUUUAUCUUCUAUCUAUGGACAGUCACACCCUAAAAAGCUAUUAACUAUCUCAAAAACCCUAGCCUUUACUCUCAGCCAUCUUCAAUUUCCCUAACCCCCCAAGAACCCAUAACUUUAUCCUCAUCAUCAUCAAUAACUUCACAUCCCAAACCCUAAGCCUCUCAUUUCUUUGUUCUCACCAUAGCCGUUGAGAGCUACUAAUGUCGAAAUAGAGAAGCUUGAAGUCCACCACUAGCCAACUAGUUAUCAAUGGCAUUAAACAUUUUCUAAGCUUAAAACAGAGAUGCUCUAUGGUUAUAGAGAUUUCUUUAACUGGGUCUGUUGAUAGCAAGCCUUGGCAAUUGAAUGGGCUGACUGGUUGAAUCAAAUCGACUCAAAUUAGGAAACAAAUAGAGAAGACUUUAUUUGGGUUCUACUUAUCUAGUACAAUUUCUUUUGGAUUUUCAUGGUUAUGGCGGGUUUAAAUUAUCAGCUCAAUGGAUCUAAAUUAGAUGCACUGGUUGUGAUGCUCAGAAACUCUCAGACCAAUGACUUUGACAUUCUCUCCUACUCUAACGUUGGAGCCUUCAGGUAUCAAUACCUUCAUAUAUUCCAUUUUGGGGAGAUGUAAUAGUAAAGAAGCAGGUACCUAUGUCUCUAGUGAUUGAAAUUAUCAUCGAAAAGGAUGCAAAGGAAACUAGUUUGCCAAAAGAAGAGAACCCAAUUUGUUAAAGGAGGUGAUGUUGAUCGAAAACCACCAUGAAGAUUGCAUCAUUAGUCAUUUGAAGGUUGAACAAUAUUUUUUUGUAGAAUAUAAAUCUUAAUAAUUGUUGUAGUCACAUUUGUACUCUUGUUGAAAGAAUUAGAAAUUGUUGUUUGAAAUAUUUUGAUGUAAUUUACAAAUUUGUAUGCAAUUAUUGUAUAUAAGUAGCUACAUUAAUGGUUUGAACUAGGUUAUUAUA